UGAAAUUAUUCAACGGCCGCGGUAUCCUAACCGUGCGAAGGUAGCGUAAUCACUUGUUCUUUAAAUGAGGACUAGUAUGAAUGGCACCACGAGGGUUCUACUGUCUCCUUUUUUUAAUCAGUGAAACUAAUCUCCCCGUGAAGAAGCGGGGAUCUUUAUAUAAGACGAGAAGACCCUAUGGAGCUUUAAACAACCAACAUUUGCUACACCAUAACAUUUUCCCUAAAAGAAGUAUAGCAUUAUGAUUAUUAGUUUUCGAUUGGGGUGAUCACGGAGUAAAAUAUAACCUCCAUGCCGAAAGGGUUCUUACCCUGAGCAAAAAGCCACAGCUUUAAGCACUAAAAAAUUAACGCAGUUUGACCCAAUAUUUUGAUCAACGAAC
rnacentral:rRNA from 1 species